rnacentral:rRNA from 1 species
AACGAACGCUGGCGGCAUGCCUAACACAUGCAAGUCGAACGAGACCUUCGGGUCUAGUGGCGCACGGGUGCGUAACGCGUGGGAACCUGCCCUUAGGUUCGGAAUAACUCCCCGAAAGGGGUGCUAAUACCGGAUAAUGUCUUCGGACCAAAGAUUUAUCGCCUUUGGAUGGGCCCGCGUUGGAUUAGCUAGUUGGUAGGGUAAAAGCCUACCAAGGCGACGAUCCAUAGCUGGUCUGAGAGGAUGAUCAGCCACACUGGGACUGAGACACGGCCCAGACUCCUACGGGAGGCAGCAGUGGGGAAUAUUGGACAAUGGGCGAAAGCCUGAUCCAGCAAUGCGGCGUGAGUGAUGAAGGCCUUAGGGUUGUAAAGCUCUUUUAGCCGGGAUGAGAAUGACAGUACCGGGAGAAUAAGCUCCGGCUAACUCCGUG